UUUUCAUCCAUACAAGUGUUGGGCUUUUUAACUCCAUUUUAACACCAAAAUGCAAGCCCAAAAACCUGCGAAAUGGAUAAGGCAGACUGAGAAGGAGGCCCAGGCCAAAACUUGGGCCAGUUGGGCCAAGCCAGGUUUCGGCCAAAUCCUGAUCAUCGCUGUUGAUCUCAGGGUUUGGCAUGGACGCUCUUGAUUUACUCCUGAUGGCAG
rnacentral:misc_RNA from 1 species